UUUUUUAAAAAAACUAAGUAGUUUUUGUUUUUUUUUUUUAUUAUUAAAAUAAAUAAUUUCUUUAAUUUCAAAACUGAAAGGGUCAUUAUUUAAAAGUUUAAAAGUAAUUAUUUGUACCUUUUGCAUAAGGGAUUUUCUAUAAAAAUUAAAAUUUUAAUUGUCUAGAAAUAAAUUGAUCUAAAAGUUAUAUUAAUUUUGUAUUUCAUUAUAAAAUUUAAAUAAUUUUUAGAUGUGAAAUUCUUUUCAAAAUUUAGGAUAUCUAGUUUUAUAAAUAAAUUACAUAUUUAUCUAUAACUAAUUUUAAUAUAUAAAUUUAUAGAAAAUUAAUCUUGGGAUAAGCUAGGAUUAUUUUUUUAGUAUUUUAAUAUAAAAAAAAAUAAAGGAAUAAAAUUGUCUUCUAUACUGUCAUUAGAAAUUUUUUUUUAAGUAUAUAAAUAAUAUAUUUAAUAUUAUAAAAUAAUAAAUUUUUAUUUAUUUUCAAAAAUGAGAAUAUUAGUAAAAGAGAUUAAUAUUUAAUUAGUGUAUGUUUAACUUACAUAAUAUAAAAAUUUAAAUAAAUUUAAAGAAUUCGACAAAUCAAUUUUCUGACUGUUUAAUAAAAACAACUCAUUUAGUUAAAAUUAUUAAAUGUAAAUCCUGCUCAAUGAAUUAUUUAAAUUGCUGUAGUAUUUUGACUAUACAAAGGUAUUGAAAUAAGAUUUUAAUUGAAUGCUAAGAGAAUGGAAUUUCAGGGAAAAGUUUUUUUAAAUUUAAUAAUUAAAGUUAUUUUAAUUUGUGAAGAAACAAUUAUAUAAAUUAAGGACAAGAAGACCCUAAGAAUUUAAGAAUUCUUAUGUUACUUAAAUAUAAACUAGGAAUUCUUAGUUGGGGCAACUAAAAAACAUUAUAAACUUUUUUUCUUUAAAAUGAUCCAUUAUUAAUGAUAAUAUGAUUAAAUACUCUAGGGAUAACAGCGUAAUAAUUUUUGAUAGAUCUUAUAGACAAAAUAGUUUGCGACCUCGAUGUUGGAUUAGGAUUCUUAUUUAAUGAAGAUGUUAAGUAAAGAAGUUUGUUCAACUUUUAAAUUCCUACAUGAUCUGAGUUUAGACCGAUGAGAAUCAGGUUGGUUUCUAUCUUAAUUUUUAAUUAAGUUUUAGCUAGUACGAAAGGAAUUCUAAAAAUUAAUUAUUAAAAUAAUAAAUUUUAUUUGCAUCAUUUUUUGGAAUU
rnacentral:rRNA from 1 species